rnacentral:pre_miRNA from 1 species
AAUGGAAUUGCUGGAUCAUCUGGUAAGUCUUAUGUUUAACUCUUUGAAAAACUGCCAGACUGUUUUCCAAAGUGGCUGCACCAUUUUCCGUUCCCACCAGCAGU